rnacentral:sRNA from 1 species
UUUAAUGAACACUAGAUUUUAACCUGCGGUAUACCGCGGGGCUAUAUUAUUUUAGAAAAAAUCAAAAUGUAAUAUGCUUAAUUGAUUAUCAUUAUUAUAUAACCUAUUAUUUUGUAUUUUUUUGAAUAUAAAAACCUUAUAUAU